GAUGAAGAACGUAGUGAAAUGCGAUAAGUAAUGUGAAUUGCAGAAUUCAGUGAAUCAUCGAAUCUUUGAACGCAUAUUGCGCUCUCUGGUAUUCCGGAGAGCAUGCUUGUUUGAGUAUCAGUAAACACCUCAACUCCCUUUUCUUUUUUGAAAUUGGAGCUGGACUUGAGUGAUCCCAACGCUUUCUUCCAAGAAAGUGGCGGGUUGCUUGAAAUGCAGGUGCAGCUGAACUUUUCUCUGAGCUAUAAGCAUAUCUAUUUAGUCUGCCUAAAAAACAGAUUAUUACCUUUGCUGCAGCUAACAUAAAGGAGACUAGUUCUUGUGCUGACUGAUGCAGGAUUCACAGAGACAGCUUCGGCUGACUUUGUAAACUCGAUCUCAAAUCAAGUAAGACUACCCGCUGAACUUAAGCAUAUCAAUAAGCGGAGGA
rnacentral:misc_RNA from 1 species